UACUUUAAAGAAUCACAUGAGAACACAUACAGGUGAUAAACCUCAUGACUGCGAUGUAUGUGGUAGAGACUUUAGUCGGCUGGAUAGUUUAAAGACCCACAUGAAAACACAUACGGACGAUAAACCUCAUGCCUGUGAUGUUUGUGGUAAAGGGUUUAGUCUGCGUCGUUAUUUACAGAGGCACAUGAGAAUACAUACAGG
rnacentral:lncRNA from 1 species